rnacentral:lncRNA from 1 species
GUAGCAAACUAUACAGAAAGGGAAAAAGAAAGUGUGAAAACAAAGAAGCGGUGUCUACAUACUAUACCAAGACAAGGAUGGGUAUCUCGGGCAAUUGGAACGUUGACAAUGAGGCUUUGUAACAACACCGAUUUGUGGCCCUGGAAACUGCCCAUUAAUCAAGAUUCCCUGCAAAGCUAAUCUACCAGGAAAAUAAGGGGAAAAAAAUCACUUCCUAAACUAAAAAAGCCUGUAUACUCAUUCGAAAUACAAGAAAAGUGCUUGCUUUGCAGGAACAGUAUAAAACAAAACCAACAAAACAUAGCAUAAACAUAGUACGUGCCUGUUGCUUAACUCCAAGAGGAUAGACGUCGCCAUAAAUGACUUUUCACGUAAAGAACCUAUAAGCGUUAUCGCCAUUAAUGCCGCGAAUAAGAAAGAAUAAGAGGAGAAAGAGCCCCGCAAUU